UACGGAGGGAGCUAGCGUUGUUCGGAAUUACUGGGCGUAAAGCGCACGUAGGCGGCUUUGUAAGUUAGAGGUGAAAGCCCGGGGCUCAACUCCGGAACUGCCUUUAAGACUGCAUCGCUUGAAUCCAGGAGAGGUGAGUGGAAUUCCGAGUGUAGAGGUGAAAUUCGUAGAUAUUCGGAAGAACACCAGUGGCGAAGGCGGCUCACUGGACUGGUAUUGACGCUGAGACGCGAAAGCGUGGGGAGCGAACAGG
rnacentral:rRNA from 1 species